rnacentral:sRNA from 1 species
GCCAGGCACAGUGGCGCACGCCUGUAAUCCCAGCAGCUCAGAGGCUGAGACAGGAGGAUUGUGAAUUCAAAGCCAGCCUCAGCAAUUGCAAGACUCUAAGCAACUCAGUGAGACCUUGUCUCUA